rnacentral:rRNA from 1 species
CGGCGCCACGAGUGGUAACCACGUUUAUUGGGCCUAAAGCGUCCGUAGCCGGUUUGAUAAAUCUUUUGUGAAAUUGUACAGCUUAACUGUACAGCGUGCAAGAGACACUGUCAAACUUGAGACCGGGAGGAGUCAGAAGUAUUCCAGAGGGAGCGGUAAAAUGUUAUAAUCUCUGGAGGACUACCUGUGGCGAAGGCGUCUGACCGGAACGGAUCUGACGGUGAGGGACGAAAGCCAGGGGAGCGAACCGGAUUAGAUACCCGAGUAGUCC